GGGGACCUAAUGGGCGUUCGCGCGCGUAGGUGGUUCGUUAAGUUGGAUGAGAAAUCCCCGGGCUCAGCCUGGGAACUGCUUUCCAAACUGUCGAGCUAGAGUAUGGUAGAGGGUGGUGGAAUUUCCUGUGUAGCGGUGAAAUGCGUAGAUAUAGGAAGGAACACCGGUGGCGAAAGCGACCACCUGGACUGAUACUGACACUGAGGUGCGAAAGCGUGGGCAGCAAACAGGAUUAAAUACCCUGGUAGUCCACGCCGUAAACGAUGUCAACUAGACGUUGGGAGCCUUGAGCUCUUUCCUCCGCAGCUAACGCAUUAAGUUGACCGCCUGGGGAGUACGGCCGCAAGGUUAAAACUCAGAUGAAUUGACGGGGGCCCGCACAACCGGUGGAGCAUGUGGUUUAAUUCAAAUGACCACGAACAACCUUACCAUGCCUUGACGUCCAAUGAACUUUCCAUACAUCUAUGGGUGCCUUCGGGAACAUUGAGGACAGGGGCUGCAUGGCUGUCGUCAGCUCGUGUCGUGAGAUGCUGGGUUAAGUCCCGUAACGAGCGCAACCCUUGUUGAUAGUUACCCUUGCGUCAUGGUGGGCACUCUAAGGAGACUGCCGGUGACGCUGCGGAGGAAGGUGCGCAUGACGUCCAAUCGUCAUGGGACUUACGGUAUGGCCUGCACACGUGCGACAAUGGUUGGUGUUUGCUGCCGCCGAUUUGCCACGUGGAGGUCAUCCUAAAACAACGAGCGUACCCUCGAUCCUGGUCUGCAACUCCUACUGCUAGAAAUUUGACUCGCUCAUAAUCGAUACUCACACUGUCUACGCUGAAUCUGUUUCCACGCCUUGUACUCCCCGUCCGUCGCAGCGUCCGGGUGAUUUGCAUCCGACUUAGCUAGUCACCUCCUCGCGCGGUCCGCUACGACAGUGCGAUUAAUGACUGCC
rnacentral:rRNA from 1 species